rnacentral:lncRNA from 1 species
GACUCGCAGCUGGAGCACUGAAUAGAUUAAGCAAGUUGUAAGGAUACAUGCCGAGAGUUGUGCAGGUUGGUUCAGGUCAUGCAGACCUGCGCUGCAGCGGCACCCGCGAGCCUGACGGAGCGCUUGCUGAAAGGCAGCACACAGACGCGACCGAACGCAUAGGCUGAAGCUUUAACCUACCUCGGAAAUGUUUGCUCGCUUCUAAAACGCCCUCCUGAUCCUGAACAGCCUCUCGGCUCUCCGCAGAAGCAGGGACCGCAGCUCGCAGGAGCGCAGCAUCUCUCCUGAGCGAGCCAACGGCGGGAGCAGCAGCAAGCACAAAGGUGAUGGGUUUCCUCGCAGGCACGCGCAUGUACGCACAGCGCACCGCCUCUCUGCACUACCUGUCUCGUCUUGUCUUACCCGUUUCUGGUGCCCCAGAAGAGCUGACCGGGGAGCAAAAACCAAAUGCAUAGGGUAACAGACACAGAUAUGGGCAAAGCUUAGCUUCAUGCUGCUUGGGCUUGACACUGACCCAGAAGAACCAAGAAAGCAGAAGACAGGACUGAAACUGCUCAUUCUUUGGUGCCAGAUCACAGCAGGAUACAAGAUACCUGAGGACUAUCUUUUGUUUGCAGACUGCUGCAAGACAGAGGCACAAUCAUCUAUUGGACUUUUUGCAACAGUGCUCCAAACUGAGUCCUGGGAAGGUGUGCUGCUCAUUCUUGUGAGCACUGUGACCCUCAGAAAUGACUCCUUAGCACUGCUAUUCCCCUUCAACCUCUGCAAGAAGGGAUUCAUAGACAACAGAAACACCAGGCUCGGUAAUCCUGCAAGCACUUUUGCCAUACUGUUGUGUUUCUCUUGCCUGUCUCACUCCAGAGCCUAGACGGUCAGUUGUAUCCCGGCAGAAGUCAAAUGGUGGACGGCACCAGCUAGGUAGCAGAACGUGUC